GACGAACGCUGGCGGCGUGCUUAACACAUGCAAGUCGAACGGUAAGGCCCUUCGGGGUACACGAGUGGCGAACGGGUGAGUAACACGUGGGUGAUCUGCCCUGCACUUCGGGAUAAGCCUGGGAAACUGGGUCUAAUAACGGAUAGGACCACUGCCUGCAUGCGUGGUGGUGGAAAGCUUUUGCGGUUUGGGAUGGGCCCGCGGCCUCUCAGCUUGUUGGUGGGGUGAUGGCCUACCAAGGCGACGACGGGUAGCCGGCCUGAGAGGGUGACCGGCCACACUGGGACUGAGAUACGGCCCAGACUCCUACGGGAGGCAGCAGUGGGGAAUAUUGCACAAUGGGCGCAAGCCUGAUGCAGCGACGCCGCGUGAGGGAUGACGGCCUUCGGGUUGUAAACCUCUUUCAGCACCGACGAAGCGCAAGUGACGGUAGGUGCAGAAGAAGGACCGGCCAACUACGUGCCAGCAGCCGCCGCCG
rnacentral:rRNA from 1 species